rnacentral:rRNA from 1 species
AGAGUUUGAUCAUGGCUCAGAGUGAACGCUGGCGGCAGGCCUAAUACAUGCAAAGUCGAAACGGGCAAGGCACAGCAGAGCUUGCUCUGUGGGUGGCGAGUGGCGGACGGGUGAGGAAUACGUGGGAAUCUGCCCAGUCGUGGGGGAUAACGUAGGGAAACUUACGCUAAUACCGCAUGCGCCCUUCGGGGGAAAGCCGGGGACCUUCGGGCCUGGCGCGAUUGGAUGAGCCCACGUCGGAUUAGCUAGUUGGCGGGUAAAGGCCCACCAAGGCGACGAUCCGUAGCUGGUCUGAGAGGAUGAUCAGCCACACUGGAACUGAGACACGGUCCAGACUCCUACGGGAGGCAGCAGUAGGGAAUAUUGGACAAUGGGCGCAAGCCUGAUCCAGCCAUGCCGCGUGAGUGAAGAAGGCCCUCGGGUUGUAAAGCUCUUUUGUCCGGAAAGAAAAGCGCCGGGUUAAUACCCUGGUGUCCUGACGGUACCGGAAGAAUAAGCACCGGCUAACUUCGUG